rnacentral:rRNA from 1 species
UGUCGAGCGGUAAGGCCCUUCGGGGUACACGAGCGGCGAACGGGUGAGUAACACGUGAGCAACCUGCCCCUGACUCUGGGAUAAGCGGUGGAAACGCCGUCUAAUACCGGAUACGACCCGCCACCUCAUGGUGGAGGGUGGAAAGUUUUUCGGUCAGGGAUGGGCUCGCGGCCUAUCAGCUUGUUGGUGGGGUAACGGCCUACCAAGGCGAUUACGGGUAGCCGGCCUGAGAGGGCGACCGGCCACACUGGGACUGAGACACGGCCCAGACUCCUGCGGGAGGCAGCAGUGGGGAAUAUUGCGCAAUGGGCGAAAGCCUGACGCAGCGACGCCGCGUGGGGGAUGACGGCCUUCGGGUUGUAAACCUCUUUUACCACCAACGCAGGCUCCCAGUUCUCUGGGGGUUGACGGUAGGUGGGGAAUAAGGACCGGCUAACUACGUGCCAGCAGCCGCGGUAAUACGUAGGGUCCGAGCGUUGUCCGGAAUUAUUGGGCGUAAAGAGCUCGUAGGCGGCGUGUCGCGUCUGCUGUGAAAGACCGGGGCUUAACUCCGGUUCUGCAGUGGAUACGGGCAUGCUAGAGGUAGGUAGGGGAGACUGGAAUUCCUGGUGUAGCGGUGAAAUGCGCAGAUAUCAGGAGGAACACCGGUGGCGAAGGCGGGUCUCUGGGCCUUACCUGACGCUGAGGAGCGAAAGCAUGGGGAGCGAACAGGAUUAGAUACCCUGGUAGUCCAUGCCGUAAACGUUGGGCGCUAGGUGUGGGGACUUUCCACGGUUUCCGCGCCGUAGCUAACGCAUUAAGCGCCCCGCCUGGGGAGUACGGCCGCAAGGCUAAAACUCAAAGGAAUUGACGGGGGCCCGCACAAGCGGCGGAGCAUGUUGCUUAAUUCGACGCAACGCGAAGAACCUUACCAAGGUUUGACAUCACCC